rnacentral:rRNA from 2 species
CAUGACCCCAGGUCAGUCGGGACUACCCGCUGAAUUUAAGCAUAUAAAUAA